UGAGGCUUUAGCUUAAUUAAAGCUACUGGGUUGCAGCCAGUGGAUGCGAAUUAGAGUUUUGCAGGCCUU
rnacentral:tRNA from 1 species